CCUACGGGAGGCAGCAGUGAGGAAUAUUGGUCAAUGGACGAGAGUCUGAACCAGCCAAGUAGCGUGAAGGAUGACUGCCCUAUGGGUUGUAAACUUCUUUUAUAUGGGAAUAAAAUGUUCCACGUGUGGGAUUUUGUAUGUACCAUAUGAAUAAGGAUCGGCUAACUCCGUGCCAGCAGCCGCGGUAAUACGGAGGAUCCGAGCGUUAUCCGGAUUUAUUGGGUUUAAAGGGAGCGUAGGUGGAUGGUUAAGUCAGUUGUGAAAGGUUGCGGCUCAACCGUAAAAUUGCAGUUGAUACUGGCAGUCUUGAGUACAGUAGAGGUGGGCGGAAUGCGUGGUGUAGCGGUGAAAUGCUUAGAGAUCACGAAGAACUCCGAUUGCGAAGGCAGCUCACUGGACUGCAACUGACACUGAGGCUCGAAAGUGUGGGUAUCAAACAGGAUUAGAUACCCCUGUAGUC
rnacentral:rRNA from 1 species